rnacentral:snRNA from 1 species
UUGAGCACUUUUACAAUGGGCUU